UACAGAGGGGGCAAGCGUUAUUCGGAAUUAUUGGGCGUAAAGGGCGCGUAGGCGGCCGGACAAGUGGAAGGUGAAAUCCCCGAGCUCAACUCGGGAACUGCCCUCCAAACUGUUUGGCUUGAGUCCGGGAGAGGUGAGUGGAAUUCCCAGUGUAGCGGUGAAAUGCGUAGAUAUUGGGAGGAACACCAGUGGCGAAGGCGGCUCACUGGACCGGAACUGACGCUGAGGCACGAAGGUCAGGGGAGCAAACGGG
rnacentral:rRNA from 1 species